UUAACAAAAACAUGUCUUUUUGAGUUAUUUUUAAAGUCUGACCUGCCCACUGAAAUUAUUUAAAUGGCCGCAGUAUUCUAACUGUGCAAAGGUAGCAUAAUCAUUAGUCUUUUAAUUGAAGGCUGGUAUGAACGGUUGGACGAGGUAUAAGCUGUUUCAUAUAAAUUUAUAGUAGAAUUUUAUAUUUUAGUCAAAAAGCUAAAAUUUAAUUAAAAGACGAGAAGACCCUAUAAAUCUUUAUAUUUUAUAUUAUUUAAAUUUUUUGGAUUUGGUUUAUUUUUAUAUUAUAAAAUAUUUUGUUGGGGUGAUAUUAAAAUUUAAUGAACUUUUAGUUAUUUAAAAUCAUUAAUUUAUGAGUUAUUGAUCCAUUAGUAGUGAUUAUAAGAUUAAGUUACUUUAGGGAUAACAGCGUAAUUUUUUUGGAGAGUUCAUAUCGAUAAAAAAGUUUGCGACCUCGAUGUUGGAUUAAGAUAUAUUUUAGGUGUAGCCGCUUAAAUGUUAAGUCUGUUCGACUUUUAAAUUCUUACGUGAUCUGAGUUC
rnacentral:rRNA from 1 species